rnacentral:ncRNA from 10 species
AACGUUUAUCCUGAAACGGACGGAAGUAGGCGAAUGCUGAAGAAACGCACU